rnacentral:misc_RNA from 1 species
GAUGAAGAACGCAGUGAAAUGCGAUAAGUAAUGUGAAUUGCAGAAUUCCGUGAAUCAUCGAAUCUUUGAACGCAAAUUGCGCCCGCCAGUAUUCUGGCGGGCAUGCCUGUUCGAGCGUCAUUUCAACCAUCAAGCCCCCGGCUUGUGUUGGGGACCUGCGGCUGCCGCAGGCCCUGAAAUCCAGUGGCGGGCUCGCCGUAGCACCGAGCGUAGUAGCACACUUCUCGCUCCGGUAGCAGCGGCGGGCGCUUGCCGUAAAACCCCCCCCUAAAAUCUCAAGGUUGACCUCGGAUCAGGUAGGAAUACCCGCUGAACUUAAGCAUAUCAAUAAGCGGAGGA